rnacentral:rRNA from 1 species
UGGGGAAUAUUGCGCAAUGGGGGAAACCCUGACGCAGCAACGCCGCGUGAGCGAUGAAGGUUUUCGGAUCGUAAAGCUCUGUCUUUAGGGAAGAUAAUGACGGUACCUAAGGAGGAAGCCCCGGCUAACUACGUGCCAGCAGCCGCGGUAAUACGUAGGGGGCAAGCGUUGUCCGGAUUCACUGGGCGUAAAGAGCAUGUAGGCGGUUUAUUAAGUCAGGUGUGAAAGUUUUCGGCUCAACCGGAAAAGUGCACUUGAAACUGGUAAACUUGAGUAUCGGAGAGGUAAGCGGAAUUCCUAGUGUAGCGGUGAAAUGCGUAGAGAUUAGGAAGAACACCGGCGGCGAAGGCGGCUUACUGGACGAUAACUGACGCUGAGAUGCGAAAGCGUGGGGAGCAAACA